AUCAUUUUAGCAAACAAUUGCUUAAAAUUUAGAAUUUUACCAUACCUUAAUAGUAGAAAUAAUU
rnacentral:tRNA from 1 species